rnacentral:piRNA from 1 species
CCUUCUUUCUGAUCUAUCUGGUC